rnacentral:rRNA from 1 species
AUACGGGGGGUGCAAGCGUUAUUCGGAAUCACUGGGCGUAAAGGGUGCGUAGGCGGUUUGAUAAGUCUGAUGUGAAAUCCUAUGGCUCAACCAUAGAACUGCAUUGGAAACUGUCAGACUAGAAUACUGAAGGGGCAGAUGGAAUUAGUGGUGUAGGGGUAAAAUCCGUAGAUAUCACUAGGAAUACCGAAAGCGAAAGCGAUCUGCUGGGAAGUUAUUGACGCUGAGGCACGAAAGCGUGGGGAGCAAACGGGAUUAGAAACCCCUGUAGUCC